rnacentral:rRNA from 1 species
CCCUUAGAUGUUCUGGGCCGCACGCGCGCUACACUGAUGCAUUCAACGAGUCUAAAACCUGCUCUGAUAGGGGUGGGUAAUCUUUUGAAUGUGCAUCGUGAUUGGGAUAGAUGAUUGCAAUUUUUCAUCUUCAACGAGGAAUGCCUAGUAAACGCAAGUCAUCAGCUUGCAUUGAUUACGUCCCUGCCCUUUGUACACACCGCCCGUCGCUCCUACCGAUUGAAUGAUCCGAUGAAUAUCAUGGAUUAAGGAUGCAAGUAGGUUCGCCUAUCUUCAUCUUCGAGAAGUGAAGUAAAUCUUAUCAUUUAGAGGAAGGAGAAGUCGUAACA